rnacentral:rRNA from 1 species
UACGAAGGGGGCUAGCGUUGCUCGGAAUUACUGGGCGUAAAGGGCGCGUAGGCGGAUGUUUAAGUCGGGGGUGAAAGCCCGGGGCUCAACCUCGGAAUAGCCUCGAUACUGGACAUCUUGAGUACGGGAGAGGUGAGUGGAACUCCGAGUGUAGAGGUGAAAUUCGUAGAUAUUCGGAAGAACACCAGUGGCGAAGGCGACUCACUGGCCCGUUACUGACGCUGAGGCGCGAAAGCGUGGGGGAGCAAACAGG